UAAGCAUAUCAAUAAGCGGAGGAAAAGAAACCAACAGGGAUUGCCUCAGUAACUGCGAGUGAAGCGGCACAAGCUCAAAUUUGAAAUCUGGCGUCUUUGGCGUCCGAGUUGUAAUUUGGAGAGGCAUCUUCGGAGAUGGCGCCGUCCUAAGUUCCUUGGAACAGGACGUCACAGAGGGUGAGAAUCCCGUGCCAGGAUGGCAGCCCAUCUCCAUGUGAAGUGUCUUCGACGAGUCGAGUUGUUUGGGAAUGCAGCUCAAAAUGGGUGGUAAAUUUCAUCUAAAGCUAAAUACUGGCGAGAGACCGAUAGCGCACAAGUAGAGUGAUCGAAAGAUGAAAAGCACUUUGAAAAGAGAGUUAAAAAGUACGUGAAAUUGUUGAAAGGGAAGCGCUUGAGACCAGACUCGAUCCUUGGUGAUCAGCCGCACUUCUGUGUGGUGCACUUGCCAUUGAUUGGGCCAGCAUCGGUUCUGGCGGUGGGAUAAAAGGCGAAGGAAUGUAGCUUCCCUCGGGGAGUGUUAUAGCCUCCGUCACAAUGCCAUCAGUCGGGACCGAGGACCGCGCUUCGGCUAGGAUGCUGGCGUAAUGGUCUUAAGCGACCCGUCUUGAAACACGGACCAAGGAGUCUAACAUCUAUGCGAGUGUUCGGGUGGAAAACCCUUGCGCGUAAUGAAAGUGAACGGAGGUGGGAACCCGCAAGGGUGCACCAUCGACCGAUCCUGAUGUCUUCGGAAGGAUUUGAGUAAGAGCAUAGCUGUUGGGACCCGAAAGAUGGUGAACUAUGCCUGAAUAGGGUGAAGCCAGAGGAAACUCUGGUGGAGGCUCGCAGCGGUUCUGACGUGCAAAUCGAUCGUCAAAUUUGGGUAUAGGGGCGAAAGACUAAUCGA
rnacentral:rRNA from 1 species